AAGGAGGUGGUGAGGUAGGAGAACAGGGGGGAAUGGAGUUGAAGGGGGUGGUGAGGUAGGAGAAACAGAGGGGAAUGAGAUGUGAAGGAGGUGGUGAGGUAGGAGAACAGAGGGGAGGGGAAUGAGAUGUGAAGGGGGUGUUGAGGUAGGGAAAAGAGGGGAAUGAGAUGUGAAGGGGGUGGUGGUGAGUAGGGAACAGAGGGGAAUGGAUGUGAAGGAGGGGUUUUGGGGGUAGGAGGAGGGGGAAUGAGAUGUGAGGGGUGGUGCGUAGGGGAAUGGUGUGAAGGGGGUGGUGAGGUAGGAGAACAGAGGGGAAUGAGAUGUGAAGGGGUGGUGGUUGGUGAGGUAGGAGAACAGAGGGGAAUGAGAUGUGAAGGAGGUGGUGAGGUAGGAGAACAGAGGGGAAUGAGAUGUGAAGGGGGUGGUGAGGUAGGAGAACAGAGGGGAAUGAGAUGUGAAGAGGGUGGUGGGGUAGGAGGACUCACGGUUGCGUUUUCCCCCGUCCUCGUCCCCCUCCUCGUCAUUCUCAGGGUCGAUGUCCUCGGCCUGAGUGAUCCAGUCCAGGUAGCCCUUCAGAUCCUCCUCCAGCUGCUGCUUCUCUCUCAGCUUCUGGAAGUCUCCACGAGCCUUGGCCUUCUCUCUCUCCUUAGAAAACUCUCUGUGGACGGACACACACAAACAAAGAAAAAAGCUCAGAAACCUGUUCCUUCUAUGUGUGUAUUUCUGUGUGUGCACCCUCGUGCGUGUGUAUGUGUGCAUUUGUGCGUGUGUAUGUGCAUAUGUUCAGUAUAUAGGACAAUGAUGAUUCUAAUGUCUUACCCGCUUAAAACUCCCAGAACCAGGUUGAGAACGAAGAAGGAGCCGAAGAUGACUAGACUGACGAAGUAAACCCAGGGCAGCUCAAAGCCCAUGGCAUCAUUCAUCUGAAACAACAAAAACAGUCACAGUUAGCUUUAGAAGACAAU
ensembl:lncRNA